CUACGGGCCGCUGCAGUGGGGAAUAUUGCACAAUGGGCGCAAGCCUGAUGCAGCCAUGCCGCGUGUAUGAAGAAGGCCUUCGGGUUGUAAAGUACUUUCAGCGGGGAGGAAGGGAGUAAAGUUAAUACCUUUGCUCAUUGACGUUACCCGCAGAAGAAGCACCGGCUAACUCCGUGCCAGCAGCCGCGGUAAUACGGAGGGUGCAAGGUGUAAUCGGAAUUACUGGGCGUAAAGCGCACGCAGGCGGUUUGUUAAGUCAGAUGUGAAAUCCCCGGGCUCAACCUGGGAACUGCAUCUGAUACUGGCAAGCUUGAGUCUCGUAGUGGGGGGUAGAAUUCCAGGUGUAGCGGUGAAAUGCGUAGAGGUCUGGAGGAAUACCGGUGGCGAAGGCGGCCCCCUGGACGAAGACUGACGCUCAGGUGCGAAAGCGUGGGGAGCAAACAGGAUUAGAUACCCUCGUAGUC
rnacentral:rRNA from 1 species